GGGGAUUUAGCUCAGUUGGUUAGAGCAAGGCAUCAAGUUCUGGCGUAGGUUCAAAUCCUGCAAUCUCCA
rnacentral:tRNA from 1 species